rnacentral:misc_RNA from 1 species
AAGUCGUAACAAGGUUUCCGUAGGUGAACCUGCGGAAGGAUCAUUAACACGUAUCCAACGUUAAACAACCCUGUGAACUUUCAGACGCUCUUGUAGCCCAGGCGGAACAGCAAUCCCGGUAAAUCAAUGGCGGAAAAGUUUUGAUUCGGGACCUCUGUCCAAUUAGUUACAAUCGAGCUAGGAGCAGUGGCAUGGUUUCCCUAAGCAGUGCAGAAGGAUCCACUGAGUAAGGAUAACGCAUCACGGUUGCUAGAGGUCGAUCGGCAGACAUGUCACAGGGCUAUAUGCCCCUUCGUUCACCCCUUGCCUAAAACUCGCCCACCCACAAAAACCGAACAACUGUUAACAAUGGAUAUCUUGGUUCUC